rfam:Dipodomys ordii contig_2729, whole genome shotgun sequence.
GGUGGCUCAGUGGUAGAGCGAUUGCCUUGAAUGCACGAGGCCCUGGGUUCGAUUCCUCAGCACCA